ACAGAAAUUACCUGGGGAUCUGGUUACACUGUAGCACUAGUUCAAAACUAUCUGAGCUUCUGUAUUUCUAACAAGCUCCCAGGUGAUGGCAAU
rnacentral:pre_miRNA from 1 species